rnacentral:rRNA from 1 species
UACGUAGGGACCAAGCGUUGUUCGGAUUUACUGGGCGUAAAGGGCGCGUAGGCGGCGUGUUAAGUCACUUGUGAAAUCUCUAAGCUUAACUUAGAACGGUCAAGUGAUACUGACGUGCUAGAGUGCAGAAGGGGCAACCGGAAUUCUUGGUGUAGCGGUGAAAUGCGUAGAUAUCAAGAGGAACACCUGAGGUGAAGACGGGUUGCUGGGCUGACACGUGACGCUGAGGCGCGAAAGCUAGGGUAGCAAACGGG